GGAUGUGAGGGCAAUCUGGCUACUACAUCUAUUACCCCAUUGAUUUUCAGAGUUGAUUGGGCAAUCUGGCUGGUGAGGCAGGCAUUCCCUUCCUUCAUCACUGCUCCCUGUGCAUUCUUCCAGAAGCUGGACACUUAGUAAAGAGGAUAACCUUCUCUAAGAGGAAAUCUAUUCUUCAGUCAAGGGCGUAUGAGUAGCUGUGCUCCCCUUAGAAUUUUUAACAUAGAAUUAUAGAUUUUUAACAUAGAAUCCUAGCCUCACUGCAAAACUUGACCAGUGUUGAGAUUAGGGGUUGUCUCUGCUU
rnacentral:snRNA from 1 species